rnacentral:rRNA from 1 species
UAUGAAGGCGGGCUGGAAUCUCUCGGGGUUACAGCCUUGCUGAAUUAUUCACCCUUGUCUUUUGCGUACUUCUUGUUUCCUUGGUGGGUUCGCCCACCACUAGGACAAACAUAAACCUUUUGUAAUUGCAAUCAGCGUCAGUAACAAAUUAAUAAUUACAACUUUCAACAACGGAUCUCUUGGUUCUGGCAUCGAUGAAGAACGCAGCGAAAUGCGAUAAGUAGUGUGAAUUGCAGAAUUCAGUGAAUCAUCGAAUCUUUGAACGCACAUUGCGCCCUUUGGUAUUCCAAAGGGCAUGCCUGUUCGAGCGUCAUUUGUACCCUCAAGCUUUGCUUGGUGUUGGGCGUCUUGUCUCUAGCUUUGCUGGAGACUCGCCUUAAAGUAAUUGGCAGCCGGCCUACUGGUUUCGGAGCGCAGCACAAGUCGCACUCUCUAUCAGCAAAGGUCUAGCAUCCAUUAAGCCUUCCCUCACCUUUUGACCUCGGAUCAGGUAGGGAUACCCGCUGAACUUAAGCAUAUCAAUAAGCGGAGGAA